rnacentral:rRNA from 1 species
UUUCUUAAUUGGGGACUGGAAUGAAAGGUAGAAACAUAAGGGAAUGUUUUAUUUUAUAAAUUUGAAUUUUAAUUAAAAGUAAAAAUGCUUUUAUAGAGCCUUGGGACGAGAAGACCCUAGAAGCUUAGAAUUUUAAUAGAAAAAUUUUUGGUUGGGGCAACAGUUGAAGAGGUUAAUUUUUAAUAGAAAAAUAUUUAAACAUAAGUUACUCUAGGGAUAACAGCGUUAUUUAAUUAACAAGUUCUUAUUAAUAAUUAAGAUUGCGACCUCGAUGUUGAAUUAAACAAAAAUUUGGGUGAAGAAGCUUUAUAUUUUUAGUCUGUUCGACUAUUAAAAGUUUACAUGAUUUGAGUUCAAACCGGUUUAAGCCAGGUCG